CCUACGGGAGGCAGCAGUGGGGGAUAUUGCACAAUGGGGGAAACCCUGAUGCAGCGACGCCGCGUGGGCGAAGAAGUAUUUCGGUAUGUAAAGCCCUAUCAGCAGGGAAGAAGAAAUGACGGUACCUGAGUAAGAAGCACCGGCUAAAUACGUGCCAGCAGCCGCGGUAAUACGUAUGGUGCAAGCGUGAUCCGGAUUUACUGGGUGGAAAGGGAGCGCAGGCGGCACGGCAAGCCUGAUGUGAAAGCCCGCGGCCCAACCGCGGGACUGCAUUGGGAACUACCGGGCUGGAGUGCCGGAGAGGUAGGCGGAAUUCCUAGUGUAGCGGUGAAAUGCGUAGAUAUUAGGAGGAACACCAGUGGCGAAGGCGGCCUACUGGACGGUGACUGACGCUGAGGCUCGAAAGCGUGGGGAGCAAACAGGAUUAGAUACCCUUGUAGUC
rnacentral:rRNA from 1 species